UACGUAGGGUGCAAGCGUUGUCCGGAAUUAUUGGGCGUAAAGAGCUCGUAGGCGGUCUGUUGCGUCGGCUGUGAAAACCCGGGCCUCAACUCCGGGCCUGCAGCCGAUACGGGCAGACUAGAGUUCGGCAGGGGAGACUGGAAUUCCUGGUGUAGCGGUGAAAUGCGCAGAUAUCAGGAGGAACACCGGUGGCGAAGGCGGGUCUCUGGGCCGAUACUGACGCUGAGGAGCGAAAGCGUGGGGAGCGAACAGG
rnacentral:rRNA from 1 species